UUUAGUGAGAGUUUGAUCCUGGCUCAGGACGAACGCUGGCGGCGUGCCUAACACAUGCAAGUCGAGCGAGUGGAGUUC
rnacentral:rRNA from 1 species